GACAGAGGGUGCAAACGUUGCUCGGAAUCACUGGGCGUAAAGGGCGUGUAGGCGGGAAGGAUAGUCAGAUGUGAAAGCCCUGGGCUCAACCCAGGAACUGCAUUUGAAACUCCCUUUCUUGAGUGUCGGAGAGGAAAGCGGAAUUCCUGGUGUAGAGGUGAAAUUCGUAGAUAUCAGGAGGAACACCGGUGGCGAAGGCGGCUUUCUGGACGACAACUGACGCUUAGACGCGAAAGCGUGGGGAGCAAACAGG
rnacentral:rRNA from 1 species